UACAGAGGGUGCGAGCGUUAAUCGGAAUUACUGGGCGUAAAGCGUGCGUAGACGGUUAUUUAAGUCGGAUGUGAAAGCCCUGGGCUCAACCUGGGAACGGCAUUGGAAACUGGCUUACUAGAGUGCGGUAGAGGGGUGUGGAAUUCCCGGUGUAGCAGUGAAAUGCGUAGAUAUCGGGAGGAACAUCUGUGGCGAAGGCGACACCCUGGACCAGCACUGACACUGAGGCACGAAAGCGUGGGGAGCAAACAGG
rnacentral:rRNA from 1 species